AAGACAUUACCUUUAGAGCAAAACAACUCAGAAUUCACGACGACGAGGCCAUGGAACUUAUAAAAACAUAUCAUUUUUAAAAAGCGACUUAUGCCAUUUCCAAGCGCUUAAUGCACAGACCGGCACAAAGGGUGGGUAUAAAACCACAAGAGUAAGUAUGAACUUGUUACUAUGUUUUGUCAAUGAACAGAACUACUUACAUUGAAUAUAAGCAAAGUUACGCAAAGUAACUGAUGGACUCACGAUCAAAUUGCAAUGAUGGACGUAGCCGCAAGGCGGCAUGGUUAUCAAAUUAUAUACUUUCCAGAGGUGUUGAUAACGCUUGAACCAUGUGCCAUGAUGUAAAACCACAGAUUGGGUCUUGGCAAGGAGACAGCAAUGCCAUUGAUAACCAACAUAACAACCGUUGGCCUACUUUACAUCCCUUUGUAUGUAUUAGGCCUGCUUACACAGAUAAUGAAUGACAUGUGAACUUAUCACGUUUGAUCCCGUGCAAUUUCUACCUAUUGACAAAAUACGUUAAUGAGAAAGUAUAAAGCUAUGAUAUAGGCCUAAAGAAAUCCGUAUUGUUCACUGGUACGCUAACGAAGUAAUCGUUUGACUGAUGUCAAUUCCAUAUUUGGAUAAACCUACAUGUGAUUACUGUUAUGAAUAGCCAAAUAUACUUCACAUUUAAAAAAAAAAAUGAUGAGCUGUUGAUAAGUGUGAACCGUUAAUCCUUUUUCUGAACUACUUUGCAAACAUGUAUUAACCUGCAGAUCCAGAUAUCAUCCAUUCUCAUAGGCUACAACAUUAAGGUGAAUGUAGAUACGGGUAAGAAUGUUUUGGUGCUAAUAUUAGGCUGACAUUCUAUCCAAUACCACAGCAUUGUUGAAUACUCAUGUCUGAUUGCCUAAAAGGGCAUUCCAGAAUGGACAUUAUAACCAGACAACGGGACAGUUGUGGAAAAGAUAUCUGGACAGUUGCAAAAUAUAUCGGGACACCUUGCAAUCAUGACGCAAUAUGUGCCGACACGUGCCAAACGUUCUUGCUCCAAAGUGACAACAACACAAACCGAAAUUGGAUACAUUGUAAACCCAGGUCCAACAAGGAAACAUGUAGGUAGUUAAUUAGCAUUGAUUUGUUUUUUUUUGCAGAAAAAACUAUGUUUUGGUACAUCUGAUGAACUAAUGUGGUGAGUGAUGAACAUGAAUUUCUCCGGCCCCCUGCCACAGAUAUCUGAAGUGUUGAGGGUAGUGUGUAAUUGGCAUGCUGACUGCAGGAAUGUCCACCAGAGAUGUUGCCAGAGAAUUGAAUGUUCAUUUCUCUACCAUAAUCCAAUAAUCACCUCUAAUGUUGUUAUAGAGAAUUUGGCAGUACGUCCAACCGGGUCUCACAACCUCAGACCACGUGUAACCAUUUCCAGCCCAGGACCUCCACAUCCACCUGCGGGAUCAUCUGAGACCCGCCACCCUGACAGCUGAUGAAACUGUAGGUUUGCACAACAACUGAAGAAUUUCUGCACAAACGGUCAGAAACCGUCUCAGGGAAGCUCAUCUGCGUACUCGUCAUUCUCACCAGGGUCUUAACCAGACUGCAGUUCGGCGUUGUAACCGGCUUCAGUGGGUAAAUACUCACCUUUGAUGGCAUGCUGGAGAUGUGUGCUCUUCACGGAAUAAAUCCCAGGUUCAACUGGCAGACAGCGUUUUAUGGUGUUGUAUGGGUGAGCAGUUUGCUGAUGUCAAUGUUGUGAACAGAGUACCCCAUGGUGCCGGUGGGGUUAUGGAAUGGGCAAGCAUAAGCUAUUGACAAUGAACACAAUUGUAUUUUAUUGGUGGCAAUUUGAAUGCACAGAGCUACUGUGACGAGAUCCUGUACUCUACAAAUGAAGGAUUCAACAAGGGUUCUUCUAAGAUCCUCAAAGUUCUUUGAAUAACCUAUUUUCAGUACUUGGCACAGAAAAUAGCCCCCAAAAAAUGUAUUCCAAGACCACCAUGGGAGGUGGGGCUCAUCGAGGAAUCUCUUUAGUUGGUGGGGUUUCUUGCAAGAACCUAUAACUGCCCAACUGAAACAUUUGGAUUUGAAUUUGAAAGGACAGCAGGUGCAGGCACUUAACCGAAAAAAAUGUAAAGAUCCCCUCAAUUAAAGGUAAGUUUUGGUCCCUUGUGUGAAAUCAAUCGAUAUUGUUUUAUGAUGAUACCGUCUAUCGGUUCAUAUUUGUGCAAAUCUUUCUAAAAAAAAAAAACAGAAAAUGGACACAAUUCAUUGGAUAUCAAUCAGCAAAGAGGUAUACCGACGAGGAGGCAUACAAAAGGUAUAUCAAUUGCUCUUGGUGUGUUAUGCAGAGCCCACUUACCACCCGCCUCCCUUACCUCUUCAAUGAAUACCCCAAUACCCCUACAUUAUGGACAAGGUUAAUAAAGUUAACAUGGACACGUACCACGCUGCAUUUUGGUCCGAUCCUUCAUAUUCCUCAUCAGACGAGGACGAGAAUCGUCACAGAUACGGAGAACACUAACACCAACACGCCAGAGGAUAUACCCAUUAUACUUGGGGCUCUGCUGGGAGUUUCUCAUAUUUGGAUGUUUUAAUUCUGCUUUGCCACUAAAAUAAUAAUAAACACUGACAA